UGAGGCAUUGGUUGUCUUGAAUCACUUAUGUUUGACUAGUGACUGAGAAGACCCUCCUGCAAGCAUUCAUUUUCAAACAAUAAAUAGAGCAGCACCAAAUGUGUUACCACAAAUAAGAAUGAAUUACCCAGAUCCUGCUACAGGAACUUGGAAAGGGCCAUACGGGUACAGAAAUACAAUAAGUAUUGGACUGAAGAGUUGUAAAGGAAUGCUUUGCACUGUGGUUGAAAUCAAGAAAUUUCUUCAAAGGGACUAUAAGCUGGUGUGAAAUAUGUUCAUCUGAUUCGUGUCAGUAUGGAACAAUGCUAGGACCGCAUGGAGAUUAAGGAGACGGGGAGAGCUGAAGAACAACUAAAAGACAAAGCUUGCAGGGGACGC